rnacentral:rRNA from 1 species
AUUGAACGCUGGCGGCAGGCCUAACACAUGCAAGUCGAACGAGUGGCGGACGGGUGAGUAAUGUCUGGGAAACUGCCUGAUGGAGGGGGAUAACUACUGGAAACGGUAGCUAAUACCGCAUACCAUCAGAUGUGCCCAGAUGGGAUUAGCUAGUUGGUGGGGUAACGGCUCAACAAGGCGACGAUCCCUAGCUGGUCUGAGAGGAUGACCAGCCACACUGGAACUGAGGCACGGUCCAGACGCCUACGCCAGUCAGCAGUUGGGAAUAUUGCGUAAUGGUCUCAAGCCUGAUGCAGCCAUGCCGCUUGUAUGAAGAUGGCCUUCGGGUUGUAAAGUACUUUCAGCGGGGAGGCGUUACCCACAGAAGAAGCACCGGCUAACUCCAGGCCAGCAGCCGCGGUAAUUC